AAGCGCGCGUAGGUGGUUUGUUAAGUUGGAUGUGAAAUCCCCGGGCUCAACCUGGGAACUGCAUUCAAAACUGACUGACUAGAGUAUGGUAGAGGGGUGGUGGAAUUUCCUGUGUAGCGGUGAAAUGCGUAGAUAUAGGAAGGAACACCAGUGGCGAAGGCGACCACCUGGACUGAUACUGACACUGAGGUGCGAAAGCGUGGGGAGCAAACAGGAUUAGAUACCCGGGU
rnacentral:rRNA from 1 species